AUUGAACGCUGGCGGCAUGCCUUACACAUGCCAGUCGAACGGUAACGGGCCUUCGGGUGCCGACGAGUGGCGCACGGGUGAGUAAUACAUCGGAACGUGCCCGAUCGUGGGGGAUAACGAGGCGAAAGCUUUGCUAAUACCGCAUACGAUCUACGGAUGAAAGCAGGGGACCGCAAGGCCUUGCGCGGACGGAGCGGCCGAUGGCAGAUUAGGUAGUUGGUGGGAUAAAAGCUUACCAAGCCGACGAUCUAUAGCUGGUCUGAGAGGAUGAUCAGCCACACUGGGACUGAGACACGGCCCAGACUCCUACGGGAGGCAGCAGUGGGGAAUUUUGGACAAUGGGCGCAAGCCUGAUCCAGCCAUGCCGCGUGCAGGAUGAAGGCCUUCGGGUUGUAAACUGCUUUUGUACGGAACGAAAAGCCUUCUUUUAAUACAGGAGGGUCAUGACGGUACCGUAAGAAUAAGCACCGGCUAACUACGUG
rnacentral:rRNA from 1 species